UCCCCAGUGGUCCAGUGGUUAGGAUGCUGUGCUUUCACUGCUGAGGGCAUGGGUUCAAUCCCUGGCUGGGGAA
rnacentral:tRNA from 1 species